GGAGGGAUGGCCGAGCGGCUGAAGGCGGCGGUCUUGAAAACCGCUUACCCCUCCGGGGUACGGGGGUUCGAAUCCCUCUCCCUCCG
rnacentral:tRNA from 2 species